rnacentral:rRNA from 1 species
GACGUAGGGCGCGAGCGUUGUCCGGAUUUAUUGGGCGUAAAGAGCUCGUAGGCGGCUUGUCGCGUCGAAUGUGAAAUCUCGGGGCUCAACUCCGAGCUUGCAUUCGAUACGGGCAGGCUAGAGUUCGGUAGGGGAGACUGGAAUUCCUGGUGUAGCGGUGAAAUGCGCAGAUAUCAGGAGGAACACCGGUGGCGAAGGCGGGUCUCUGGGCCGAUACUGACGCUGAGGAGCGAAAGCGUGGGGAGCGAACAGA